rnacentral:rRNA from 1 species
AAGUCGAGCGCGAACGAGUCCUUCGGGGCUCUAGUAGAGCGGCGGACGGGUGAGUAACACGUGGAUAAUCUGCCCUUUGGCGGGGGACAACAGCUCGAAAGGGCUGCUAAUACCGCAUACGUCUAUUUCGUCCCCGGGUGAAAUAGGGAAAGGUGGCUUCGGCUAUCACCAAAGGAUGAGUCCGCGUUGCAUCAGCUUGUUGGUGGGGUAAUGGCCUACCAAGGCAAAGACGCAUAGCUGGUCUGAGAGGAUGAUCAGCCACACUGGGACUGAGAUACGGCCCAGACUCCUACGGGAGGCAGCAGUGGGGAAUAUUGGACAAUGGGCGAAAGCCUGAUCCAGCCAUCCCGCGUGAGUGAUGAAGGCUCUCGGGUCGUAAAGCUCUGUGGAGAGAGACGAAACCUGAAGGGAAUAAUACCCCUUCAACUGACGGUAUCUCUUUAGCAAGCACCGGCUAACUCCGUGCCAGCAGCCGCGGUAAUACGGAGGGUGCAAACGUUGCUCGGAAUCAUUGGGCGUAAAGCGCACGUAGGCGGCUUGAUAAGUCGGAUGUGAAAGCCCUCGGCUUAACCGGGGAAGUGCAUUCGAAACUGUCAGGCUUGAGUAUGGGAGAGGGUUGCGGAAUUCCCGGUGUAGAGGUGAAAUUCGUAGAUAUCGGGAGGAACACCAGAGGCGAAGGCGGCAGCCUGGACCAAUACUGACGCUGAGGUGCGAAAGCGUGGGGAGCGAACAGGAUUAGAUACCCUGGUAGUCCACGCCGUAAACGAUGACAACUAGCUGUUGGGAGACAAUGUCUUUCAGUGGCGCAGCUAACGUUUUAAGUUGUCC